AGCAGUCGCCGCGGUAAUACGAAGGGGGCUAGCGUUGCUCGGAAUGACUGGGCGUAAAGGGCGCGUAGGCGGCGGCCAAAGUCAGGCGUGAAAUUCCCGGGCUCAACCUGGGGGCUGCGUUUGAUACUUGGUUGCUUGAGUGGGGAAGAGGGUCGUGGAAUUCCCAGUGUAGAGGUGAAAUUCGUAGAUAUUGGGAAGAACACCGGUGGCGAAGGCGGCGACCUGGUCCUUUACUGACGCUGAGGCGCGAAAGCGUGGGGAGCAAACAGGAUUAGAUACCCGUGUAGUCCCUGUCUCUUAUAC
rnacentral:rRNA from 1 species